rnacentral:rRNA from 1 species
GACGAACGCUGGCGGCGUGCUUAACACAUGCAAGUCGAACGGAAAGGCCCUGCUUUUGUGGGGUGCUCGAGUGGCGAACGGGUGAGUAACACGUGAGUAACCUGCCCUUGACUUUGGGAUAACUUCAGGAAACUGGGGCUAAUACCGGAUAGGAGCUCCUGCUGCAUGGUGGGGGUUGGAAAGUUUCGGCGGUUGGGGAUGGACUCGCGGCUUAUCAGCUUGUUGGUGGGGUAGUGGCUUACCAAGGCUUUGACGGGUAGCCGGCCUGAGAGGGUGACCGGCCACAUUGGGACUGAGAUACGGCCCAGACUCCUACGGGAGGCAGCAGUGGGGAAUAUUGCACACUGGGCGGAAGCCUGAUGCAGCAACGCAGCGUGCGGGAUGACGGCCUUCGGGUUGUAAACCGCUUUCGCCUGUGACGAAGCGUGAGUGACGGUAAUGGGUAAAGAAGCACCGGCUAACUACGUG